AAGUCGUAACAAGGUUUCCGUAGGUGAACCUGCGGAAGGAUCAUUCUUAUAAAUUUAAAAUAUAUAAGUAUUCACUGUUAUAUAAUUAAUAUAAUAUAAAUUAUAAUGAGAAAUUUUAUCAAACCCGUUUUUUUGUUUAGAAUUCUUAGGGGAAUAAAAUUUAGUAAUUAUAAUUUGAUUUCAUUUUAAAUAUUUUAUUAUGAAAUAAUUAUAUUUAAUAUAAUAGCAGUAUAAAUCAAAUUAAUAAGAAAAUAAACAUUACUAUUAAAAGAUUAAUUAUAACUCAAAUAACUAAUAAUAAAAAAUUAUUAUAUAUAUAUAUUAUAUAUAAUAAAUAAUAAUAUUAAUACAACUAUUAACAAUGGAUCUCUCGGCUCUUAU
rnacentral:misc_RNA from 1 species